GAUGAACGCUGGCGGCGUGCUUAACACAUGCAAGUCGAACGAAGCACUUUAUUUGAUUUCCUUCGGGACUGAUUAUUUUGUGACUGAGUGGCGGACGGGUGAGUAACGCGUGGGUAACCUGCCUUGUACAGGGGGAUAACAGUUGGAAACGGCUGCUAAUACCGCAUAAGCGCACAGCAUCGCAUGAUGCAGUGUGAAAAACUCCGGUGGUAUAAGAUGGACCCGCGUUGGAUUAGCUAGUUGGUGAGGUAACGGCCCACCAAGGCGACGAUCCAUAGCCGACCUGAGAGGGUGACCGGCCACAUUGGGACUGAGACACGGCCCAAACUCCUACGGGAGGCAGCAGUGGGGAAUAUUGCACAAUGGGCGAAAGCCUGAUGCAGCGACGCCGCGUGAGCGAAGAAGUAUUUCGGUAUGUAAAGCUCUAUCAGCAGGGAAGAU
rnacentral:rRNA from 1 species